UAAAAUAAAGCCCUAAUCAAUUAUUGUCAUUUUUUGAAGCUACUUUAUUCUUUAAAAGGGUACAAUAUCGUCAAAACAAAUACAAGUGGGCUUGGCAGGCCCCAAACCAUGCCUUGUAGUUUUGGGACUCCAGUUGAGUCUUGAGAAAUCAUCCCAAUUGGGCAUUCAAUUGGCCCAGGUAAAUCACGGGCAAUCACCAAAUGUUUAGUGUCUGAAUCUGAAUGGAAAAUAUGACAAAUUGCAAGAAUUAAACUGAUACUCCUGAAAUGACAUUUCAAUAGCCCUGAAAUUGAUGGCGCCAUUUCAUUCUGAACUUUAAUCAACAAACACAUCACAUUACCAAGGUGAGUCUAAUUCUCAGUUUUAAUAACAUUUAACAAACUCUUCACAAUUGCAUAAAACAAACUGAUGAGAUUCGAUAACUGAAUCGAAUAUUUCAAAUCUGAUCCAUAACUACAAGGCAAUUCUACUAAACUUGCAACCCUAUUUUAAACUUGCUUUCGUUAUUACAGAACUUGAAGGGAACACUUAACUCAUUGUAAAGUAUGAAACGAAACAGAAGAAAAAACUGCACCGCUACUGAAUUCGAUUUUCCAGGUGCUUCAAUCAAUUUGAAUCUCAAUGACUACACGAUUAGAGUGAUCGACUCAAUAGCUAUACUAUAGCUGAGUCUCCAAAUGUUAAUCCAUAUGACUUAGUCACAGUCCAAUUAUAGUCCAUUUACACAUGGAGAUUUAAACUUCAGAUAACUAGCAAUCUCAUG
rnacentral:lncRNA from 1 species